GAGAAGAAGGCCAUGCAACAAGAGAGGCAGAGUCGGAGAGAGAAGAUGCCAUGCUGAUGGCUUUGAAAAUGGAAAAAGGGUCCUGAGUCAAAGAAUACAAGUGGAUUCUAGGAGCUAGGAAAGUCAGGAAACAGGCUGUACUCUGGAGCCUCCAGAAAAAACCAGUCAUGUGAACACCUUGGUGUUAGCCUGUGUGAUCAUCAUCAUCAGAGGAGGAAGGAAGUUGAGAAGGAGGAGGAAGGAAGUUGAGAAGGAGGAGGAAGGGGAACAAAGAUGAGCCGCAGCCGAGAUGUUGCCAGCUCAGGGGGAGUCAGAUUCUAGGCCAGAUCCCUGGCUCUGUGCCCCACAGCCCACCCUUUGCAUCCCCCGCUCCAGCACCUGUCAUGCACACCACGUUAUGGUGAUCUCUGGUCCAGUCUGCAAAUAUGUUGUUGCCUGGCACAAAGUAAACAGUUGAUAGAUGCUGCUGUGCUCGUCAUCGUCAAGUCGUCACUAUCAUCAUUUGCUCUGGCCAACUCCUGGUGUUUGCUGUCCUCUUAGAAGCUGUGGUAUGAAUUGCGUGGAUUGCAUUCAUGCGUCACCCUUCCCUGUGUCUACAUCCCAUGCCUGUCACUUUGCAGUUCUCCUCUCUAAAGAGGCCCACUCUGUUUCCCACCCCUUAAGUCUGGGCUGGCUUUCACCCAUAGAAUGCGACGGAAGUAACAGAGGCCAGUCCUGAGUCUAGGCCUCGAGGGGCCUUGCGCCUUUCUGCUCUGUCUUUGGCUUCUUGGUCUCCACCAUGAGAACGUGCCUGGGCUGGCCAGCAGGAGAAUGAGAUGUGUGGAGCAGAGCUGAGCUGCUGGGACCAUCCGAGAGAGUAGCCGGCAGCCAGCCAGCCCCCAACCUGUGAUCAGCAGAGCCACUCGGCUGACCUGCAGAUGAGAACAGACACACGAGCAGGCCAGAUGAGCUGAACCUCAUAGGCUCACAAGCUGAAUAAAUGCUUAUCGUUGUGCACUGCUGAGGUUUUGUGGAUAUUUGUUAGGCAGCCUUAUAGCAGCAAUCGAUAACUGAUACGGAAGCCACCGAAAGGAGCAAGCUAAGUCCUAGGGAAAAAUGUUGCCAGGCGUUUGGUCUUCUCAGAGUGAUAGCUGCUCAUUAGAAAGAAACCAACUUUGACUGUCACCUUCUCUGCCACUUGCACUCCGUUAAACCCAGAGACUGGUGGAUGCCUUUCAGCACAGCUGCACUCUGUCUCCCCUCCCUUCCUCCCAGACUCCUGUCUGAGACAGAACAGUAUCUUUGAGAACCCGAGGGCAAAAUCCUCUGCAGGAGUAGGAGGCGGCUCUUAUACAGCCCCAGGCGAUGUGGAAGGUGGGCGGAGGCUGAGCUAUUGCGCUGCUCCCCAAAUCCCAGUGCCUGGCUGCACCCCCACACCUGAAGCCUGCCUACCCUGGUUUAAGGCUCCCCCAGCCUUCCUGGUGAAGACCCCUCAUGGAUUCUUGUUACUCUCAGGAUUGUGCAAUAAACCCUUCUCCUUCACACAGAGUAGAUGUGACGGGAAAGCAUAUUUCUGGCCUGACUGUAUCGCAUCUUAGUUGACAUCUCCGCUCAGCUGGCAUUCAGGUGGGCACUACCUGCUCAUGGAAAGUCCAGGAGAAAAUGGAAGAGAAGAUUUUUUAGAAAUCAACACUUAAUUCAACGUCUUUCUUUCCUUCUUUGAAAGAGAGAGAGAGAGACAGAGAGAGAGCCGUGGACAAGUCAAUUUCACAGGGGCUGAGUAUUUACACCAGUCUGAACCUGGGCUGGAAAACUGUUCACCCCAAGCACCAUGGCGAGUAGGGAAGGAGGAGGCAGCUGCCACCUUGAAAUCACCAACACAGCUUUGUUUCAUUGGCCUUGAGUCAGCCAACACAUCAGAUGUUCCAAACAUUAGACAACCUUCCAGGCCAAUGUUAGCCCCAAAGCACAACCAAAAACCAAAGAGAAGUGUCUCAAAUGUUCCUGAAUGUUUUUACAUUUCUUGCGUAACUAUUCUGCUCUGAGGGAAUGUGACAAGAGCUGUCUGCUCCAUGGAGGCCCCAGAGAAAAUCAUUUCCCAUGCCAAGGCUGGAGCUGGUGGCUGUUUCCCUCUAGGGAACGGGGUGGGCUCCAUCACCCUCAGACAAGCUAUAAAGCAGGCUUUCAAAAAGCAUAUACUCUGUGGGAGCAAUUCCACUUCUGGAGAUAUAUUUUUAAAAAGUCAAAAGCAGGAUCUUGAAGAGAUGUGUACACACUCAUGUUCAUAGCAGCAUCAUACACAAUAGCCCAGAGGUAGAAGCAACCCAGGCGUUCAUUGAUGGAUGCAUGGAUGAACAAAAUGUGGGACAUCCAUACAAUGGAACAUUCAGCCUUCAAGAGGAAAGGGAUUCUGUCAAGGAUGCUGCAGCGUGGAUGAAGCUUGAGGACAGUAUGCCAAGUAAGGUUGCGGUCUGUUAAUAGUAUGGUAAUGCCAGCAGCUAGGACUGGAAGAGAAAGGAGUAGUAAGACUGAUGUGAAAAUAAACCAGUGUCCAAAAAGACAAA
rnacentral:lncRNA from 1 species